rnacentral:rRNA from 1 species
AGUGAACGCUGGCGGUAGGCCUAACACAUGCAAGUCGAACGGCAGCACAGAGGAGCUUGCUCCUUGGGUGGCGAGUGGCGGACGGGUGAGGAAUACAUCGGAAUCUACUCUGUCGUGGGGGAUAACGUAGGGAAACUUACGCUAAUACCGCAUACGACCUACGGGUGAAAGCAGGGGACCUUCGGGCCUUGCGCGAUUGAAUGAGCCGAUGUCGGAUUAGCUAGUUGGCGGGGUAAAGGCCCACCAAGGCGACGAUCCGUAGCUGGUCUGAGAGGAUGAGCAGCCACACUGAAACUGGGACACGGUCCAGACUCCUACGGGAGGCAGCAGUGGGGAAUAUUGGACAAUGGGCGCAUGCCUGAUCCAGCCAUACCGCGUGGGUGAAGAAGGCCUUCGGGUUGUAAAGCCCUUUUGUUGGUAAAGAAAUCCAGCUGGCUAAUACCCGGUUGGGAUGACGGUACCCAAAGAAUAAGCACCGGCUAACUUCGUGCCAGCCGCCGCGGUAA